rnacentral:rRNA from 1 species
GCAAGUCGAACGAGAACGGUCCUUCUUGUUGUUAGCUAAGUGACGGACGUGGGAGUAAGUUAUAGUUAGUCUGCCCUUACAGGGGGAUAACAGUUGGAAACGACUGCUAAUCCCCCAUAACCCUUCUACCUUAAUGGUGAGUGGGCAACGAUUUUUCGCUAAAGGAUGAGACCAUAUGGUAUCAGGUAGUUGGUGAGGUAAGAGCUUACCAAGCCAAUGACCACUAGCUGGUCUGAGAGGAUGAUC